rnacentral:misc_RNA from 1 species
GUAGCAGUUUGCUGCUCUUCUUUUUCAGCAGUCACUGAUGUUGCAGGUUCCUUUGUUGCAGCUGUUGUGGCUUGCAUAUGACUUGCUGAGACAGUUGCUUUCUCAUCUCCUGCAAAUGCUUCCUCUUUCGUGACAUUCUGUCCAUUAACAGAUGGUAUUGCCUGAGAGUUCUUCUCAUUGGAUUCCAAAUGCCUAGGUUGGUCCUCAGGAAUCUUCCCACCAGAUCGAUCCUGAUUACCUCCUCCUGCAGGAAGUAAUUGCU